rnacentral:rRNA from 1 species
UACGUAGGGCGCAAGCGUUAUCCGGAAUUAUUGGGCGUAAAGAGCUCGUAGGCGGUUUGUCGCGUCUGCCGUGAAAGUCCGGGGCUCAACUCCGGAUCUGCGGUGGGUACGGGCAGACUAGAGUGAUGUAGGGGAGACUGGAAUUCCUGGUGUAGCGGUGAAAUGCGCAGAUAUCAGGAGGAACACCGAUGGCGAAGGCAGGUCUCUGGGCAUUAACUGACGCUGAGGAGCGAAAGCAUGGGGAAGCGAACAGG